CAGCCGCCGCGGGAAUACGUAGGGUGCAAGCGUUAAUCGGAAUUACUGGGCGUAAAGCGUGCGCAGGCGGUUAUAUAAGACAGAUGUGAAAUCCCCGGGCUCAACCUGGGAACUGCAUUUGUGACUGUAUAGCUAGAGUACGGCAUAGGGGGAUGGAAUUCCGCGUGUAGCAGUGAAAUGCGUAGAUAUGCGGAGGAACACCGAUGGCGAAGGCAAUCCCCUGGGCCUGUACUGACGCUCAUGCACGAAAGCGUGGGGAGCAAACAGGAUUAGAUACCCGAGUAGUCCCUGUCUCUUAUAC
rnacentral:rRNA from 1 species